UAGGGAAUCUUCCACAAUGGACGCAAGUCUGAUGGAGCAACGGCCGCGUGAGUGAAGAAGGUUUUCGGAUCGUAAAGCUCUGUUGUUGGUGAAGAAGGAUAGAGGCAGUAACUGGUCUUUAUUUGACGGUAAUCAACCAGAAAGUCACGGCUAACUACGUGCCAGCAGCCGCGGUAAUACGUAGGUGGCAAGCGUUGUCCGGAUUUAUUGGGCGUAAAGCGAGCGCAGGCGGAAUGAUAAGUCUGAUGUGAAAGCCCACGGCUCAACCGUGGAACUGCAUCGGAAACUGUCAUUCUUGAGUGCAGAAGAGGAGAGUGGAACUCCAUGUGUAGCGGUGGAAUGCGUAGAUAUAUGGAAGAACACCAGUGGCGAAGGCGGCUCUCUGGUCUGCAACUGACGCUGAGGCUCGAAAGCAUGGGUAGCGAACAGGAUUAGAUACCCUGGUAGUCCAUGCCGUAAACGAUGAGCGCUAGGUGUUGGGGACUUUCCGGUCCUCAGUGCCGCAGCAAACGCAUUAAGCGCUCCGCCUGGGGAGUACGACCGCAAGGUUGAAAC
rnacentral:rRNA from 1 species